UUGCAGCCAUAUCAUGUUGCAACACCGGUUCUAGUACGAUCAACGAAGUUAAAUAAUAUUGAGCCUGGUCAGUAUCUAGAUGGGUGACCGCUUUGGAAUACAAAGUGCUGUAAG